UGCGCAGGCGGAAUGAUAAGUCAGUGGUGAAAUCCUACAGCUCAACUGUAGAACUGCCAUUGAUACUGCAUUCUAGAGUACAGUUGAAGUAGGCGGAAUGUAUCAUGUAGCGGUGAAAUGCAUAGAUAUGAUACAGAACUCCUAUAGCGAAGGCAGCUUACUAAACUGUAACUGACGCUCAGGCACGAAAGCGUGGGGAGCAAACAGGAUUAGAUACCCUGGUAGUCC
rnacentral:rRNA from 1 species